CAGUCGCCGCGGUAAUACGUAGGGUGCGAGCGUUAAUCGGAAUUACUGGGCGUAAAGCGUGCGCAGGCGGUUGUGUAAGACAGGUGUGAAAUCCCCGGGCUUAACCUGGGAACUGCGCUUGUGACUGCACAGCUAGAGUAUGGCAGAGGGGGGUGGAAUUCCACGUGUAGCAGUGAAAUGCGUAGAGAUGUGGAGGAACACCGAUGGCGAAGGCAGCCCCCUGGGCCAAUACUGACGCUCAUGCACGAAAGCGUGGGGAGCGAACAGGAUUAGAUACCCCCGUAGUCCCUGUCUCUUAUAC
rnacentral:rRNA from 1 species